AAUUAUUACCAAAAUCAUUGUGCUUGUCGACUAACAGGCACUGAUUUGUUGUAAUAAACACAAUACAAUGCCGUACCGCCGUUUUGUUUUCCUUUGCAUAUGGCUACACUCAGACAUGAAACGUUCUGAACCAUGCAACAUUGAUAGCUCCGUGAUUUUUGUUACCUAUGCAUUAUACAAUUUUGGUUCUUCAAAGAUGUUACCCAAAUAUGCCUUUUAAUUCUUUGUUGUUUGUUAUCUUUAGUGUUGUGGUCUAUUUCCUGAUGAAGCUUAAGCUUCCUAUACUGUAUCUGGGUCUUGCUUAUAGUUGUGUUUGAUAUCCUGCAUUGGGUCUAGGCUCAGCUUGCCCAGUUGGGUCUGCUGCUCACCACAAAAUAUAUACGAGGUUCUAAAAGAUUGAGAUCUUCCUUUUUUGAGAUCCUGGAGCAGGAUUAGAUAAGUCUAGAAAUUUUUAGUGGGCUGACCUGUCUAAUAUCAUGUACUUUGCCGCGUCUACUUGAAAAUUUCGUUUCUCCCUUUGACUUUCUUUUAAGUAAACUACUCCUUUGCCCUUGCCAAUCACGUAACUACAGUCACGAACGAACAUGCUACCAUUCCCUAAAACAGCCAACCUACCCCAAGCCAGAAAGCGAGCAUGCAUAUGCGUGCAACUAGCUAAUUCAUAAGCUAAACCUGAAUAAAUAAUUACUUCCUCUGCUCCAAAAAUAUAAGAGGGUUUUGCAAGCAAAUCAUUGGUUCUGAAGUGGCAAACGUGGCUCUCUAGUUGCCUAAAAGCAUCAUGACAAGUGAAAAACAAAAGCAAGUUGAAAUGAAACGCAAAAAUGUUUAAGUUCAGAAAACAAUAAGAGUGAAUGAACGAGAUUGUAGAUUGUACCAAUGAUAUACGGGCGGGAGGGAACGAGACUGGUCAAACCACACACAAAUCCACCUAACCAUAACCAAAAGAUUUGUUAAAUAAGAGAGGACAACAACAGAGUUCCCAACAAAUCAAUAUGGUGUUUUCGUCAGAAAAAAAUAAUACUGUAUAUUGGCAGAUUUGAGAAUUUUACCGAUUAUAAAGUGCUGUCGUGUUGAUGAGUUCAUCCAUCAGAAGAGAACCUUUGGCAGGUUGAGACAGACAGAGCAUUGCACGCCUACAAUGCAUGACUACUCCUAGCUAGUGUACAAGCAAGCAUCUUCAUGGAUGCCUUUUUGGAUCCCGAGAGAGGGAAAACAACACAAGACUGCAAAGAAAGAAGAUAGAUAGCUCCAUUACCAAAAUACUAGUAGUCCUGAUACUGACUACUCCAGUCUGGACUUGUCGGAAGAACCAUCUGACGACACUUCUACUGAAUCAAAUCUGCAAAGGAAGAUUUGUGUAAACAUAGGGUCUAGGGAAUAAGAGUGCAGAAUAUUGAGAAAUGAAAAUAGAAACUUAUGAAGACGGUUCUUCAAAAUACAAAUGGUAAACAAACAAAAAGUAGUGCACACUCAACAGGCUUCCAGAGAAUCGUUUUAAGAUGAUCAAUCUCAAACAUCAAGGGAUCUAAACGAUCAAACGAGGAACUUGGUAAUCCAAUGGACAUACCUCCUACUGACCUUUUACGUCCACAUGAACUUUGAUCCUGUUAAGCAGCAGACAUAACAUCCAAAAAACAUUAAAAAAAGAAAAUAAAUUAUUACAGUUUAAUAAUAAAAAAAGAAGCAGAACGAUUGUAAUUUAAACAGCCAUGAAAUUUCAAUAACGGACAUUGACAAGUA
rnacentral:lncRNA from 1 species